UCUCCGUUGGUGAACCAGCGGAGGGAUCAUUACUGGAAUCGCAAGAUCCCACAACCCUGUGAACCUACCGAAACGUUGCCUCGGCGGGUGCCCGGCCUCUGCGCCGGGCGCUGCGCCCGCCGGCGGCCCCCUACUCUGUCUCUGCAGCGUGGCAUCUCAGAGUCCCAGAAAACAAGUCAAAACUUUCAACAACGGAUCUCUUGGCUCUAGCAUCGGUGAAGAACGCAGC
rnacentral:misc_RNA from 1 species